UACAGAGGGUGCUAGCGUUGUUCGGAAUCAUUGGGCGUAAAGGGCGUGUAGGCGGUUUGUUAAGUCAUGUGUGAAAUCCCUCGGCUCAACCGGGGACGACGCAUGAAACUGGCAGCUAGAGUACCAAAGAGGGGGGUGGAAUUCCCGGUGUAGCGGUGAAAUGCGUAGAUAAUCGGGAGGAACACCUGUGGCGAAGGCGGCCCCCUGGUUGGAUACUGACGCUGAGACGCGAAAGCGUGGGGAGCAAACAGG
rnacentral:rRNA from 1 species